GACGAACGCUGGCGGCGUGCUUAACACAUGCAAGUCGAACGGAAAGGCCCUGCUUUUGUGGGGUGCUCGAGUGGCGAACGGGUGAGUAACACGUGAGUAACCUGCCCUUGACUUUGGGAUAACUUCAGGAAACUGGGGCUAAUACCGGAUAGGAGCUCCUGCUGCAUGGUGGGGGUUGGAAAGUUUCGGCGGUUGGGGAUGGACUCGCGGCUUAUCAGCUUGUUGGUGGGGUAGUGGCUUACCAAGGCUUUGACGGGUAGCCGGCCUGAGAGGGUGACCGGCCACAUUGGGACUGAGAUACGGCCCAGACUCCUACGGGAGGCAGCAGUGGGGAAUAUUGCACAAUGGGCGGAAGCCUGAUGCAGCAACGCCGCGUGCGGGAUGACGGCCUUCGGGUUGUAAACCGCUUUCGCCUGUGACGAAGCGUGAGUGACGGUAAUGGGUAAAGAAGCACCGGCUAACUACGUGCCAGCAGCCGCGGUGAUACGUAGGGUGCGAGCGUUGUCCGGAUUUAUUGGGCGUAAAGGGCUCGUAGGUGGUUGAUCGCGUCGGAAGUGUAAUCUUGGGGCUUAACCCUGAGCGUGCUUUCGAUACGGGUUGACUUGAGGAAGGUAGGGGAGAAUGGAAUUCCUGGUGGAGCGGUGGAAUGCGCAGAUAUCAGGAGGAACACCAGUGGCGAAGGCGGUUCUCUGGGCCUUUCCUGACGCUGAGGAGCGAAAGCGUGGGGAGCGAACAGGCUUAGAUACCCUGGUAGUCCACGCUGUAAACGGUGGGUACUAGGUGUGGGGUCCAUUCCACGGGUUCCGUGCCGUAGCUAACGCUUUAAGUACCCCGCCUGGGGAGUACGGCCGCAAGGCUAAAACUCAAAGGAAUUGACGGGGCCCCGCACAAGCGGCGGAGCAUGCGGAUUAAUUCGAUGCAACGCGUAGAACCUUACCUGGGUUUGACAUGGGUCGGGAGUGCUCAGAGAUGGGUGUGCCUCUUUUGGGGUCGGUUCACAGGUGGUGCAUGGCUGUCGUCAGCUCGUGUCGUGAGAUGUUGGGUUAAGUCCCGCAACGAGCGCAACCCUUGUUCACUGUUGCCAGCACGUUAUGGUGGGGACUCAGUGGAGACCGCCGGGGUCAACUCGGAGGAAGGUGGGGAUGACGUCAAGUCAUCAUGCCCCUUAUGUCCAGGGCUUCACGCAUGCUACAAUGGCUGGUACAGAGAGUGGCGAGCCUGUGAGGGUGAGCGAAUCUCGGAAAGCCGGUCUCAGUUCGGAUUGGGGUCUGCAACUCGACCUCAUGAAGUCGGAGUCGCUAGUAAUCGCAGAUCAGCAACGCUGCGGUGAAAACGUUCCCGGG
rnacentral:rRNA from 1 species